UACGUAGGGUGCAAGCGUUGUCCGGAAUUAUUGGGCGUAAAGAGCUCGUAGGCGGUCUGUCGCGUCGGCUGUGAAAACUCGGGGCUCAACUCCGAGCUUGCAGUCGAUACGGGCAGGCUAGAGUUCGGCAGGGGAGACUGGAAUUCCUGGUGUAGCGGUGAAAUGCGCAGAUAUCAGGAGGAACACCGGUGGCGAAGGCGGGUCUCUGGGCCGAUACUGACGCUGAGGAGCGAAAGCGUGGGGAGCAAACAGGAU
rnacentral:rRNA from 1 species